GACGUAGGGCGCGAGCGUUGUCCGGAUUUAUUGGGCGUAAAGAGCUCGUAGGCGGCUCAUUGCGUCAACCGUGAAAACCAGCAGCUCAACUGUUGGCUUGCGGUUGAUACGGGUGGGCUGGAGUUCGGUAGGGGAGACUGGAAUUCCUGGUGUAGCGGUGAAAUGCGCAGAUAUCAGGAGGAACACCGGUGGCGAAGGCGGGUCUCUGGGCAACAACUGACGCUGAGGAGCGAAAGCGUGGGGAGCGAACAGG
rnacentral:rRNA from 1 species